GGUAUUGUGGCAGAUACAGUCUCAAAAAUAUUCACCAAAUACUAUGGUGAAAAGAAGGGCAGUAAUCAGCUGUUUAGUUUAGCUAAUUAGAUAUGAGUGCAAGAGCAUAAUACAGUUAUUAUUAGUUACACAGUUAGUUUAUUUUUCAUAAAAUUUCAGCAGUAAAACUUCUUCUUAAUAAUUGCACAGUACAAUUAUUGAAAACUAAUACUGAAAUAGUUUAUAAUAAAUGCUUAACAUAUGCAUUUUAUCUGAAUCAAUUGUUAAGUAAAUAUGAAAAAAUUUAACAACACAUUUGUCGAUUAACACAUGUGUUCAUCCUUAUAUUUGAGAAUAAUGGAAAAGGAAAAUCAUAAUAAAGCGUUGCGCCCCUCGAAGGAGCAAAUCGGGUGCUAUCUCAACUUUGUGCGGGUUCAUCCUGAAAUAAAGAUGCAUAAAAACGACCCAUCGCGGCCGAAAAGGGUUGAAGAGCUUUGGGCGGAACUCUCCGUACAAUUAAAAGGGCCCACCCGAAACCCCAUCAAAUGGAGAGAGAAUCUGAGUCAUUGGAAAAAUAAAAUACGGUCACGUGCAAGGAGAGCCAAGGCGCACAAGCUGGUGGCAGGUGGCGGUCCCAGCUAAACAAUUAAGCUCUCUGAAACGGAGCAGAGAGCAUUGAAUACUUUGGGGUCAAUCGCGGUUGAUGGGUUGGUUGAUGUACCCGCCAUUGGCACAGAGGAAGAAAUAGUUUUCAUAGCUGCAUUAUCACCCCUGAUGACGACUUCGGAUGCGUCCAAUGACUGCACUCCGUCAGCGUUCCGUACCAAAAAAUGACGACGGACGAAAUGUUCAGGAAUUACAUGGAUUUGAUGAAAGGAGAAGCCGAGGAGGAGAGAGCUUUCCGGAUUCAAACAUUAGAUUCCAUUAACAAACACAUGGAAUCUAUUAAUAAUUUAGCGGCAGCGGUGGUGUAGCUUGCUCAGACCAUUGUAAAAAACACAGAAGAUUGUACAAAAAAGUGAAAGUGAAAAAUGUGUCUUUUUAUGUAUAUAUGAAUUAUUUUAUUGUUAAGUUUUUUUGUACAAAAAUGUGAAAAUUAAAAAUGUUCCUUUUUAUGUAUACUAUA